rnacentral:rRNA from 1 species
ACAGAAUAAGCACCGGCUAACUCUGUGCCAGCAGCCGCGGUAAUACAGAGGGUGCAAGCGUUAAUCGGAAUUACUGGGCGUAAAGCGCGCGUAGGUGGUUUGUUAAGUUGGAUGUGAAAUCCCCGGGCUCAACCUGGGAACUGCAUUCAAAACUGGCAAGCUAGAGUAUGGUAGAGGGUGGUGGAAUUUCCUGUGUAGCGGUGAAAUGCGUAGAUAU